UGACCGUCGUGAGUCGCGCUCUUCAGCCCACCGCAAACCCACCUGCGGAGAAAAACAAAACAAACGCCGUUUAAUGCCUUCUGUUCACCGAGCGCCGACGCCGUCUUCCUCAGGUGCGGUGUCUGUGCAGGAGCGUGCAGAGCAGAGAUGGAAAUGAAUACCCGCCACCCGCAUUUUCCCUCUGGCGCUAAAUGUUGGAAGGCUACCCGUCACAUUGGCAGGAGGGUGUGAUGCUGCCGUACAGACGCACACGGCGUGAGCUGCUGGAUGUGGGGAAUGAAGCCGCCGCCAGCUGUUGUGUACAAAUCGUGACAUGAACACUGAGGCGCCCGCUGAGAGAGCGAAGCCUGCUGUUGACACAGUGAGUCCAACAGAGACAUAAAUACUGCAGCAAGUCUUCUUCUUCUUCUUGGUCUGUGAUUAUGUUCCCUGUUCUGAAGUGGAACGCUGCCCCAAAUCAUGAAACAGAAGCACAGAAAUCUUCGAGCCUGCUGCUCAAAUCUGAGGACAGCAGCAGUGGGGAUGUUGCAGUUAGCACUCGGACGAGACGUUCCCAUCUGUAAUUUAAUAAAGUAAUGUGACACACGCUGCUAAUCACUGCUGACGCUAACAAUGAAUGCGUUAAGUAGUGUUUGUAACUGAUGCUGUUUUUAAUCAAUGUCACAAGGUUCAAUUGAAGAAAUGAUGAAAUUCACUGUUAAUGUGUGGAAAUUGAUACACCAGCGCCGUAAAAAACAAUGGCAGGAGUAAUUACAGAGAUGUGAUGGUGGCGUUUCAGAUUAAUAAAAUCAUGAAUUGCAUUUUUAUAGCUCAUUUCAGAGCACCCAAGGACUCGUUACGAGAAAUAAAUCCUGAACAAAGACAUGUCUUCAUGGAGGCAGGAUUUAUUGCAGGACAGAUGUAUAACGCUGCAUUAGCUUUAGAUCUGUGAACCUGAUAAACUGACAGCUGCUGAAACAAAUAUUCUUCCAAUAGGUCGUCUAGACGAGCCGUGGCCUCACAUUGAUUACUCUAAACUUUAGCAUCGGGCUACAUGAACGCUCACCGUUGGCGUGAAUAUUUUAGUUUUCGUAAGAAAGCGAUGAGCAGUAGCAGCUGUAAAGCAUAAUGAUUGAUGAUUUAACUUAUUACCAAACCAGCGCUUACUGUACUCUUGAUGUAUGAGCUGCUAACAGUAACAUAAUGUGGGAAAUGUUUAAAACUGAAACAGUAAUCUUAGUCUGUAUAACAGAAGUGGGCGUAGCCGCCGUGACGUCACCCGUUGGUUUGUCGACUACCGCUUUGAAGCACUUUGGACGUCGCCAUCCUUGU